UUUCAGACUCAUUAUGGGCUGUGAAGGAGCAAAAUUCACAGCUGUUGAAAUAAAGAAAAAAAGGGUUUUGGGACUAACGUGUGUGUUUAUUAGGGUCUUCACAAGCCUUGGUCAGAACACCAACUUUGGUCACUCGAAGACCUGUGGACUUCAAUUCCCAGA